rnacentral:piRNA from 1 species
UAUCAUGUGACAUGAAUCCUUCCCUGACCUA